AUUGAACGCUGGCGGCAGGCCUAACACAUGCAAGUCGAACGAGUGGCGUACGGGUGAGUAAUUUCUGGGAACCUGCCCGAAGGAGGGGGAUAACUACUGGAAACGGUAGCUAAUACCGCAUCCCAUCGGAUGUGCCCCGAUGGGAUGAGCUAGUAUGUGGGGUAAAGGCUCACCUAGGCGACGAUCCCUAGCUGGUCUGAGAGGAUGACCAGCCACACUGGAACGGAGACGCGGUCCGGACGCCUACGGGAGGCAGCAGUGGGGAAUAUUGCACGAUGGGCGCAAGCCUGAUGCAGCCAUGCCGCGUGUAUGAAGAAGGCCUUCGGGUGGUAAAGUACUUUCAGCGGGGAGGCGUUACCCGCAGAAGAAGCACCGGCGAACUCCGUGCCAGCAGCCGCGGUAAUUC
rnacentral:rRNA from 1 species